GACGAACGCUGGCGGCGUGCCUAAUACAUGCAAGUCGAACGAACUCUGGUAUUGAUUGGUGCUUGCAUCAUGAUUUACAUUUGAGUGAGUGGCGAACUGGUGAGUAACACGUGGGAAACCUGCCCAGAAGCGGGGGAUAACACCUGGAAACAGAUGCUAAUACCGCAUAACAACUUGGACCGCAUGGUCCGAGCUUGAAAGAUGGCUUCAGCUAUCACUUUUGGAUGGUCCCGCGGCGUAUUAGCUAGAUGGUGGGGUAACGGCUCACCAUGGCAAUGAUACGUAGCCGACCUGAGAGGGUAAUCGGCCACAUUGGGACUGAGACACGGCCCAAACUCCUACGGGAGGCAGCAGUAGGGAAUCUUCCACAAUGGACGAAAGUCUGAUGGAGCAACGCCGCGUGAGUGAAGAAGGGUUUCGGCUCGUAAAACUCUGUUGUUAAAGAAGAACAUAUCUGAGAGUAACUGUUCAGGUAUUGACGGUAUUUAACCAGAAAGCCACGGCUAACUACGUGCCAGCAGCCGCGGUAAUACGUAGGUGGCAAGCGUUGUCCGGAUUUAUUGGGCGUAAAGCGAGCGCAGGCGGUUUUUUAAGUCUGAUGUGAAAGCCUUCGGCUCAACCGAAGAAGUGCAUCGGAAACUGGGAAACUUGAGUGCAGAAGAGGACAGUGGAACUCCUUGUGUAGCGGUGAAAUGCGUAGAUAUAUGGAAGAACACCAGUGGCGGAGGCGGCUGUCUGGUCUGUAACUGACGCUGAGGCUCGAAAGUAUGGGUAGCAAACAGGAUUAGAUACCCUGGUAGUCCAUACCGUAAACGAUGAAUGCUAAGUGUUGGAGGGUUUCCGCCCUUCAGUGCUGCAGCUAACGCAUUAAGCAUUCCGCCUGGGGAGUACGGCCGCAAGGCUGGAACUCAAAGGAAUUGACGGGGGCCCGCACAAGCGGUGGAGCAUGUGGUUUAAUUCGAAGCUACGCGAAGAACCUUACCAGGUCUUGACAUACUAUGCAAAUCUAAGAGAUUAGACGUUCCCUUCGGGGACAUGGAUACAGGUGGUGCAUGGUUGUCGUCAGCUCGUGUCGUGAGAUGUUGGGUUAAGUCCCGCAACGAGCGCAACCCUUAUUAUCAGUUGCCAGCAUUAAGUUGGGCACUCUGGUGAGACUGCCGGUGACAAACCGGAGGAAGGUGGGGAUGACGUCAAAUCAUCAUGCCCCUUAUGACCUGGGCUACACACGUGCUACAAUGGAUGGUACAACGAGUUGCGAACUCGCGAGAGUAAGCUAAUCUCUUAAAGCCAUUCUCAGUUCGGAUUGUAGGCUGCAACUCGCCUACAUGAAGUCGGAAUCGCUAGUAAUCGCGGAUCAGCAUGCCGCGGUGAAUACGUUCCCGGGCCUUGUACACACCGCCCGUCACACCAUGAGAGUUUGUAACACCCAAAGUCGGUGGGGUAACCUUUUAGGAACCAGCCGCCUAAGGUGGGACAGAUGAUUAGGGUG
rnacentral:rRNA from 1 species